rnacentral:lncRNA from 1 species
CUAGGACUUGCCAAUCAGAAGGUCGGCGGUUCAAAUCCCCGCGACGGGGUGAGCUCCCGUUGCUUGGUCCCUGCUCCUGCCAACCUAGCAGUUCGAAAGCACGUCAAAGUGCAAGUAGAUAAAUAGGUACCGCUCCAGCGGGAAGGUAAACAGCGUUUCCAUGCACUGCUCUGGUUCACCAGAAGCGGCUUAGUCAUGCUGGCCACAUGACCCAGAAGCUGUACGCCGGCUCCCUCGGCCAAUAAAGCGAGAUGAGCGCCGCAACCCCAGAGUCGGCCAUGACUGGACCUAAUGGUCAGGGG